rnacentral:lncRNA from 1 species
UCUACAUGGCUGAUAGUGAUAGCUAGCCACCGGACAGUCACUGUUGGUAAAAUUCUAUUGAAAGUAGAACCGGCCGUUCCCACGGACCUGUUUUCAUCAAAAUAUGAUUUAUAUGUACAACACUUAAGUAUAAAUUGUUGAUAUCAAUCAAAACUUCAGCAAUACGCACCUAAUCCCUUUUCUUUUUUCCUUUUUACACUCUACAACUGUGUUUUUUUUUUUCUAGGUUGUCGAUGUUUCUGACUACAACUUAAUUGCCAUGUAGGAUCCAACUCCAGCAAUAGCUCCCAGUGGUUCAGCCACCAGAUAAACCCAAAUCUUGGUGUAUCUCCCUGUGGCAAUGGCUGGUCCAAUUGUACGCGCUGGAUUCAUAGAUGCUCCUGUUGACGGCCUGCUUAUAGUUUUCAGUCGACGUAGAUAAAUAACAGUUUGUGAACUUACUUGGAAAAGAAACAAAAAUGAACCACAAUAAUAAUGUCAUGUAGCACUACACAUUCUAGCUACUUAGACCUCCUCCAAUGCAAAGGUGCUUAGAUAAGGUGCUAAGUAUAUUAAAUGUCAACUCUAGUCCACAAUGCAAAGGUGCUAAGCUUCAUGCAUUUAAUUAGUUAUAGACUCAGAAUUGUGCUUCCACCUAGGUACACGUGCUUAGCACCUUUUUUUCCUAGGGUCAUCAUACUAUUCUCUCUUCUUAACUAGCAUGCUACAUCAGAUUUUUUGCUUAGUUGGCAACCUUAGCACCUGUACAAGGUGGAGCAUUGGGAGAGACCUUACCCCGCGAUGAGAAUAUUCAUCACCACUGUCGCACCGACCGCUACUGCUAUCAAUUUUUUCACCUAUAUAAUAAAACCGGGAUUACUUGGAGAGGAAAGAAAAUAUAGAAGGUAAGGACAAUUAAUAUAGAGUGUAUUACUGCAUGAGGGUCCGUGGCAACAGCUAUUAUGACGAAGAGAAGGAUGAACGUGAUGAUGAACUCCACGGCGAACGCCUCCACCGUGCCAACGCUCGGGAUGGUGGUGAUCCCGGGGUUCACGGGGUGGUAAAUCGCUUUGCCGGCGAAGGAGGCGGCGGUGGAGCCAAGCACCUGCGCGACAAUGUAAGGGACAAGGUGGGCCGGCGGGAGGUGGCCGAAGACACCCAUUGCGAUGCUCACGGCCGGGUUCAGGUGGCACCCGGAGAUGUGGAUGAUGGAGAAGACGAGCACCAUGACCGCUAAGCCGACGGACACGGCGAUGCCCAUGAGGCCCACCACGCAGUGGUGCUGCUCGUCCAUGAUUAUGGAGGACACCUGGAUGAACAUGAGGAUGAACGUCCCCAGAAACUCCGCCGUCACCUGAUGGAAACACCCUAUGUGGUUAAUGCUUGCUUGGCCGAUCCAUGCAUGGAAUUGAUGUUGUUGGGCAGAAGAGUUGAAGGUUGAGUUGGGCACCUUCUUGACGAGUGGCACCGCUGCCAUGUUUGGAAAUUUAGGCCGCCGCCGCCGAGGACGAGUUGAGUCAGGUUCAGAGGACGGUGGUGGUGGAUCGCCGUUGCCAUCGACAUGGUGGAUCGGCUCCAUCGGCACAAUCAUCGACCCCAUUGCAAGCAAGCACUAUAGUUUGCCAAGAUAACAGUAUGCAUAUAAUGUAUAUAGUACUGUCCUGUUGCUCUUGGUCAAUACCUUACCUUCCGUAAUCAGCUAGCUAAGGCAUACACGAUCCGAUCAACAAUAAACAAGAUGUCAACAUAUUAAAUAUGCAUGCCAAGCAUAUUCCAUGGAUGAGUGCAGGGUUUGACGAUAACAAACACCGGUAUUAUUGAUCCAAGAAAUAAAACUUUGCGUGUCAUUAGGUUAUAAGUGUGCCUCAAAAAUCUUUUUGACUGUGUGCAUUCUCGAUGUCUUGAUUUGGUCUUCAUCAUAUUGUGUUACUGCAAAGGCAAAGUGUAAUUGGUAUCAACAUUUUUUUUCAAUAAAGGGUGGAUUUUAUUGACUCAAAAUGGAGCAUCAAGAAUAUACAAACACGAUGAGCAUACACCCGGCCUCUGCAUAGCUAGGAUGCACACAGCCAACAUCAACGCACACACAUAAAAACACGCUGGCAAAUAAAAGAGUUAUAUAAGACCAAAGCUAUGCGUAUAGGCGAGGAAAAAAAAUGCCCAAAGCAAUCCGAUCCUCGAUCGACAAACUAUAACAAUGACCAUAUCUGGACCGACCAUCUCAUGACACCACACGGACGAUGAGAUUCUUCAACAGCAACGCCUUCAGGAAGGAAGCAACACUCGAAUGUCACCGUCACCGGAUCGAGCCACCGAAGGCUACAAUCUAAGGUUUUCACCCUGAAGAAUCAGCCCGAGCAUUUGAAACAAUGCCUUCAACAAGGUAACGACGUAAAAACAUCGCCAUUGCCAGGUAUACCCAACUCGGGCCAAACCUAGGCUUUCACCUCGAAGCUCAAGACCGGGUGCUCAAGUAGCACCACCAUCGAAGUCAUUCAUGUGUUGUCGCCACCACUUUUCCACAAUCCUAGCAGCAACAUGCGGUGUGACCGUCGCCGGCGCACGACCAUCCCUCUGCAUCAAGACUUCGUCCAUAGUUUGCAUUUCGCCGCCGAAGUCAACCACAUGAUUUUGAAGAUGAACUCUCAGAAAAUCUUUUGAUGGUGACCACAAACCACAGCGAGACCGCCGCUGUCCCGGAUCCAAUUCCCGGUGACGCAAUCAGAAGCGAGAAAGCAGAUCUGCCAACUCCACCUAGUCGUGAAGACCCGGCCAUGCCGCUGCCCGCCAAGACCUAGGUGACCAAGCAGCCAUGAAUAUGUGCUGCAGCUAGCCGGCAACCUGGAUGAGCAUCUGCACUCUGCAGGGCCGGCCCAUAGGGCGGGGCAACGGGACGACCGCCCUGGGCCCCUGGGAGGUAGGGGCCCCGGCCUAGGUAGUAGUACAGUAUACAAUAAGGCCAAAGCCCACCACGUAGCUAGCACUCACGGGCCGAAAGAAUCGAUCGCUACGCUGAUGCCGGGCUCCAUCGAUCUCCUCCAGUCUGCUCGCCUCCUCGGCUCCUCCCCAAAUUCUUCAAUCCCAGAGAAGAGCGCCGCUUCCAAAUUCGAUGCGCCACUCCGUGCAUCCAUUAAUGGAGACCAAUGGUGCUAUUCCCUUCCCCAAUCAUCUCUCUUUGCAUGAUCAACGUUCCCCAUCAAGUAGAGGUUUGUGGCAUCACCGCAUCAGCCAUCAGAGAUGGUACGUGUACCUCCUUCCCCUAAUCAAGUACUCUUUUGAUUUGCUGUUAAAUACCCCGGCGUUGCGCCUCUGAUUGCUCCAUCUGAUUCUUCUCUUCCUAGUUCAUACUCUGUUGGCCUGUUCUUCAAAGCUUCAUUGGAUCCACGGAUGAGAAAGGGGUACGGGGAAUGAGUGUUGCAGCCUUGCAGAUCUGGAAAGCUACAUCGACAAUUCGACAUCAAGCCACUUGCCCCUAGUAUUGACUGUUUUUCUGCAAUUGUUUAGUGAUAUGUCUUUUAAAAGAAGUUUAUCAGUGAGAAAAAGAAGUGAAAAAACAAUUUAUUCUGAAUUUUUAUUUGUUCACAAGGGCCCCAUUUUUGUUCACAUUUUUAUUCACCUCCCUUUUCAAAUAUACUAAUAACUUAUCGAAUUUUAUUUACUGUAGCAGUCACUGUAGCAUCAGCUGAACGCAGUUUCUCAAAGUUGAAGUUAUUGGGAAACUAUUUGAGAUCAUCAAUGUCACAGGAAAGAUUGAAUGGUCUGGCUACUUUAUGCAUUGAGAAAGAAAUGUUGAAUGAAAUAAAUACUGAUGUGAUUAUUGAUGACUUUUCUUCCAGAAGUGUUAGGAGAAACAACAAGAUCUGAUCAUCAUAUGAUGGAAGCUUUGGAUAUGUUUUCUUCGCGUGAAGACAUCGAGUGACGAACAGAUUAGAGAGAUAGAAACUAAUGUAAGUUCUCAUGAUAACACAAACUCUCCAAGUUGCUAUCAGUUUUGACAAGGUUUUCAUAAUUAGAAGAGCGAGAUGCUAGUCUCUUUGUGCCACUUACAAGAGCGAUCUUUUGUAGAAUUAUGUUGUUUCCAUACUAUUACGAUGUAGUUCUCUGGACCGUUACAAAUAAAUAAUUUGUGGCGUGUGUCUUUUUCACUUCCUUGUCAAUACAUUAUAUUCACCUCCCUUGUGGCAUAUUCACCACAAGGGCCCCAUUUUUAUUUUGGUGGCAUGUGUUUUUUUCACCUCCCUUGUGGUUUUAGUUCAAAGACCAUCAAUCUAUACGAUGUACUAAAUUGUUUUCAAAAUACAAUAUAUUCUGAAUUUUUAUUUGUCGACAAGGGCCCCAUUUUGUCAUCUCGCCCCAGGGCCCUGAAUAUCUAUGGACCGGCUGGACCUCUAAAGCAGCCGUAUGGAUGCGUCCAUGAACCAGCCCCGCACGUAGUCUAGGCCAUGGACUUCAUCCAGAUCGGAAGGCCGGAAUCACCAGGUAGCUGCCAGAUCGGGAAGCCAGCGGCCAGAUCGAGAAGCCAGCGGCUAGAUCGGAAGGCGACCAAGGAGAAGAACAGAAGAAAAAACAAGAGGCCGGAGAUGCCUUUGUCGAAAAAAAAAGCUUCAAUAUGGCCUCCACAAAGUCUUCAAACCAAAAUUCUCAUCAGGAAGGCCGACGUGGCUAGCAUAGUAAACUAUAUAAGCCGCAAAAUUAGACGCGGACAUUGAAGUAGCAAUUUGAAAACUAUAAUAUAGAAGUUAAGCCAAUUGGAAACAACAAGUUAUGGAUACACUCUGCUGCUCUUCGUCAACUCCUAUUCUAAUGAGCUAGUAAUAUGUUUCGUUGUUUGCUGAUACGAACAAGAAAAUCCAAGCGGUUAAACAUGCACACAUGGGAAACAUAUUCCAUUGAUCUUGAGCCAGAAAUUUUGGCGCAGUCCGUCUCCACAAUUAGUGCAGAGUUGACGGAUGGUAACAAACACUACUAUUAUUGAAGGAAUAUAUAAAAUUGUUAGUGUCGUCAUUCAGAAAUACCUAUAUACCCAUAUUAAAAGCAUGACGGAAGAGACACAUUAUUUUGGGAGGACCGUUGGCUCCAGGGACAUCGAAUUCAAGACCUCGCUCCAGGACUGUACGAGCGGGCGCCUACCCGCAUGAAAAACUCCCGAACAGUUCACGAUGCAAUCACUAUGCGCAGCUGGGCGCGCGACAUUGGGCCUUCGAUCGACUCGGCAGCCUUGGACCAGCUCUUCGCCAUCUGGCCAAUGGUCGCAGCAACACAGUUGGACGCACACCGUCAUGAUACCACUGUCUGGGCAUGGGACAAAAACGGGCAGUUCUCGGCCAAGUCAGCAUACCCGGCAAAGUUUUGGGGCCUACAGGUCUCCCCCACUGCGACUUUCACCUGGAACUCCCGAGCCCCACUGAGAUGCCGAUUCUUCGCCUGGCUGGCGGCCAAGAACAGAUGUUGGACCUCCGAUAGACUUGCACGGAGGGGUUUACCACAUCAAGAGUCAUGCCCGCUUUGUGGACAGCACGAGGCGACGAUCGACCAUCUACUCCUACACUGUGGUUUCGCGCACGACAUCUGGUCGAAAAUCCUACCUGAGCUGGGCGUGCCACAUGGCGAGCCGCACGCCGGAGAGUCCCUACCGGAAUGGUGCGCAAGGAACUACCAAGAACACGUGCAGAGACGUAAAGCAAAGAUGGUGAGAGCACUUUGCCUCCUCGCCAUGUGAGAGAUAUGGAAGCACCGCAAUGCAAUUGUGUUCGACGGCAAGACCCCAUGCAUGUGUGAUGUGUUGCGUAAGAUAGCGAGUGAACGUGAAGUGUGGCAGCAAGCGGGGUUGUUGAGUAGCGAGGGUGAGCCUCAUGGCCUCCUCGGGGCGGCACUACGGUGGGCGGAGGGCGAGUAGUAGUCUUCUAAGCUAGAGGGUGGAGUGUGGUGUGUGUCGCGUGUAGCCACACAUUGUAAAAAGCGGAGGGGCUCUUCCCCCUUUUUCUCUCUUCAAUAUAUGAUACACACACUCGUGCGUAUUCGAGAAAAAUAUAUAUUAAAAGCAUGAAUUAAGUUUCAACAAUUUAAGCAGUUGUCACCAUCUUUUCUUUAUUAUUCUAAUUUAUCUCGGCGGCUGGACAACUUUGCCUCAAAUUUACGCACUAUCAUGUUGGGAAACGUAGUAUAAAGCAAAAAAAAUCGCCCUAGGAUCAAGGUCCCAGAUAAGAAUGAAGAUGUAUACACGGAUAGAUCGGAUCAUUACCAACUUCGAGUUGCAGCGGAAGAAGAGUUGUUGUAGAUUGAACUUGAAGUCUCUCGAACCGUCCACGACAAUCCCUCGAACAAAAGACCGAAAACACGACCUCCCUACGAAUGCAUACAGGCUUUCCAAUCCAGCAGUGCUUCACCGUCCAGAGCUAAUCGUCGCCGUAUAAUUAGAGGGAGAAGAGAACCUCACGGGGCUUCUCUAUUAUGAGGAUUAGAGAGAUCUAGAACUAGCUCUAAUCUAAACCAAGUCUAAAUUAGAACUAGGUAAGUGUCUCAAAAGAGCCCAACCCUUUAUUAUAUAUAAGUGUAGGGAAGAGGGGAGGGGUGGCCGACUUGGGGAAGGGUUAGCCAAGGGUGGAGGUGGAAUUGGACUCCAAGGGUGGAGGUGGAGUCCAAUUCCACCUCCCAAUUCGGCCUCCCCUAGGAGACUCCACUAAUGGGCCUUAGGGCCCAUUAUCUCUCCCCUAAUAGGCCUUUAUGUAUUUUCUUUAGCUCGUUAACUUUAAAUAAAUUUUCGGGACUCCACAAUAAUAUUGUAAUCAUUUAUAAUUUACCCCACAAAAAAUUGUUUAUAAUUUAUAUUUAAGUCCCUUUAAAAAAUUCCACCUAUAUAUUAAUUCCUGAUAUUCCUCGAAACCCUUUCGGUAACCCCUAAACGCUUCCAGUUUCUCUCGAAAUUAUCUCUUUCAUUCCCGAAACUAUUGAGAGAAUAUUUCCUCAUAUCACUCACUCCACUAAGUCUCAACAGAUCGAAAUUCCUUUAAGCGUGUGACCCUGUAGGUUUAACUCCUCAAAAAUUAUAAGUGGCACGUCGGCUGGCCCUGAAAUUUGAGCGGCUGCAGCCACUUCUCAGGUAAAUUUCGGCCCUAUCCUUGCGAUGGCCUCUCUCCCGGCUCGCCCGCAUUAAAGCCGGCGAUGCCUCCGACAUCCGCCCGUAAUUUCCGUCACUGUCCCGCCGACACCCCGUAGCCUUCGCCGCCCUCCUGCUCCACUCUGAUUCGCUCGUUUGUCGCCGUCGUCACCGGAGUCGACCCAUAUCGUCGAUGUUGCCUUAAUCUCGUGGAUGGAAAAAAACCACCGUCGAGCUUGAUUUUGUCCAAAAUGGAUCAAGCGGAUGACAGAGAUGUCGUAGAGAACCUGCCGAGGAGCUAGGCGGCCCCGAAAACGGGGCCAUGCCUGCGAAAUCAAGAUCACCGCAGUCCGGCCGCAACGAGCUUGGUCGGUGACCGGCUAGCAUGGCUUGAGGAGAAUCUUCCUCCUCGGAAGACCGCAAGCCGUCAUGUAGCCCUGUCGACCACCCGUAGCCUCGGCAUCGCCUCAAUGCCACGGGCCGAGGCUCUCACCUCCUCGGAUGAGUGCAGGGUUUGACGAUAACAAACAUUGGUAUUAUUGAUACAAGAAAUAAAACCUUUUGUGUCAUUAGAUUUUUGUCCCACCAAUCUUUUUGGACGUGUCCAUUCUCAAUGUCUUGACUUGGUCUUGAUAUUGUGUUGUAGAAAAGGCCAGUUGUAAUUGGUAUCAAUAUAUUACCUUUUGUCGAAAAAAACUUAAAUAUGGCCUCUACGGAGUCUUGAAACCAAAACUGUCAUAAUGAAAGCUGUCUUGUCGUGAACUACAUAAGUUGCUGUCCCGAGCAAUAUUCUGGAAUCAUAUGCCACAAAAUUAGACGCAGACUUUGAAGUAGCAUACUAGAUUUGAAAAACAUAAUACUAGAUAGUUAAUGGCAACCUGCAAACAAUAUGUUAUGGAUACAACUCUGCUGCUGUUGGUCAACUAUUGUUAUCGCCUAAUAAUACAUGUUUCGCUGUUCGCUGAUACGAUCAACAAAAUACAAGUGGUCAACAUGCACGCAUGGGAAGCAUAUUCCAUGGAUCUUUGGCUAGAAAUAAGUGCAGAGUUGACAGAGUUAACACACUAUACUACUAGUAUUAUUGAAGGAACAAAAUUGUUGGUGCCCUCAUUUAUAGAAAUACCUAUAUACAAAUAUUAAAAGCAUGUACUGAGUUUCAACAAUUUAUAUCUUAGUUGUCCCCUCUUUUUCUUUUUUAUUAUAAUAAAUAUCUCUGCAGCGCUAUAGCUUUUCCUCGAAUUUACAGGCAAUCAAAAGCGCUAGAAAAGGAGGGUUAAAUUAGGGAGGAGCUAUCGGGGUAGCUUUUGUUUCGGAUUCGGUAGGUUUAGCUAUGUUCAGGUCGCUUGUCUCUCUGCUCCAGGUACAUGCCCGCGCCUUCUUGUGUCUGUGCCGUGUGUUGUACCCUCCCUUCCACUCAUUCUUUUUUUCUCUCUAUCUGAAAAGAUACGCAGGCUUUGCGUAUUCAUGAAAACAAACAUGGCUUGUUGGAUCUAAAAUGAGGUUUUCUUGAUAGGUGGGUUGUUAAAUGAACCUCGUGUUUUUGCAUACAAGCAUUCAUGGGGCUGGUUAUUAUGUUGCACAAAAGACCUUGGCUUUUUUGUGAAAAGAGGGAAUGGGUUGGCGGGUGAAGCAACCCUUGGAUUACAGAUCCCAUGACCCAUGUAUGAGUUUUCAUAUUUUCACUGAGUGAGUGGUUUUCAUGUGAUACUUUGUUCCGAUCUAGAAGCUAACUAGAUGGAUGGCACCCACCUUGUAGCGGAUCGGUAUUUUUGGUGUAUUAAUUUGUGCGAGCAUGGUGACAUGCCGCUGGUGUCAAAGAUGGUUCUAUUAUAUGCGGUAGAAGUAGUUCAUCAAUAGUACAAUGGUAGCCACAUGUGUUUUAUUCGCUGGUACAACUUAUUUAGGGGUUGUUUGGGUGAUGCCCGCGCCAGCCCCACCAAAUUUGGAUGUGCCAAUUAUUUGGGGAGGGAAUCACCGCCCCAGUUUCACCCUCUUGCUGGAGCAGAAUUUGAGCUAGCAACCAAAAAAAUGGCAUGGAUUGAAAGAUUGGGCCACCAUUCAAAUGUGAGGCAAGGCUCUCAGUCACCGCCAAAAUUUUGGAAGGGCAACUCCCUGCCAUAAUCCGAACAACCCCUAAAUUUCAGAAUCAACUGCUUUCCAUAGUAGCAGAAUGGCGGACUGCUCGAUGGAUAGUUUAGAAUAGUUGUUCCACCUAUGUCUGUGCACAGUUUAUGAAUACAAUCAUGCUCUAUAAGUGGUUAAACAUCCACAUGCAUUUAAGCUUGAAAAAAAUGUUUCCUUGAUUCAGAUUAGUCAAGACAUGCAUUGCAUGUGCGAUCGGAGGUAGAAAUAUCUGGUCGGGCCAAAGGCUGAACAAAACAGAGCUGAAAUCAACCGUACAUGAUAUAAAAAAAACAUAUUAUGUGCCCUCCACAAGCGCAAAGCUUCAAAAGGCGACAGGUUCCGAACAUCGAAACAUAUAUAUUGUACUCAGUCCAUUAAAAGUUUUACACCAGGACGACUUUUGUGUCUUUAAAUCAAGAAGGAUAAGUAUAUACAAUUAUGUAUGAAUAGAUAAAACUUCUCAACAAUCUCGAAUUUAAUUUAUUCCUCUUGGCCAUCAUGCAUCAAUACCAUUACCAAUCCCAGCUCCCCCUCUUCAUCAGCGAUGGUAAGUUUACUGCUGCUGGUCUGCUGCCGCACUCUGGAGAAAGGCAAGGUAGCCACCUUGCAGGCUCUUCGCGUUCUCGAAACCCUGCAGGUAGGCCCAAAUCAAAACUAAGCUACGAGUAAUAAUUUCCAGAAAAAGAAAAGAGGUAAGCUAGUACUCCCUUCGUCCCAUAAUAUAAGAACAUUUUUCAAGUUAACAUAGCUUGAAAACGUUCUUAUAUUAUGGAGUAAAUAGCAUAAAACUACUACUUUACAGGUUAGGGUUCCAAAAAACUACCGGUUUUUAAUUUUUCGCUGAUAACUACCAAGUCAGGGGUUGGCUGUUUCAAAAAAUCCUAAACACUCGUUGCUAGCGAUUUAAACCGUUUUAUGACAGGUCGGGACCACUCCUAAACAAUCCGUUUGUUUGACCGUUUGCUUUGACCGUUAACUUACAUGUGGGACCCACGUGUAAGUUGCCUCUUGUUCCUCUUAUCUUCUCUUCUUUCCUCCUGUCUCUUUCUUCUUCCUCUCCUCCUCCCGACAAACACCACCCACCGGCGGCCACCUCCACCAUCCGUCGCGCGCCAGACAAGCUCGGCUGCAGGAACGAACGCCGCCCGGAGGGCAGCCGCAUCGCAGGGGCACGGGCCGCGGCAUGGCCAGGGCUCGGUCCGUCGCGAGCCGCGCACCAUGGCCAGGAGCAAGGGCGCCGCUAGCCGCGCCAUGUCAGGUGCUUGGGCCGUCGCAAGCCGCGCGCCAUGGCCAGGAGCGCGCGAGGAGCAAGGGCCGCCGCCAGGCGCGAGUCAUGGCCAGGAGCAGCGGCAGCUGUUGGCAAGGAGCUCCUCCAUCUAGCCUGUCGCCCGACUAGAGAACACUGCCUUGGCGACGAGGAAUGCGACGGCCGCACCACCUCCUUUCGCUUGGCCGGCGACCUGGCCGCCAGCGAGCUGCCGGCGCCGUUCCCAGAGAUCACGCGAAGGGCCCGAUUGCUUUUUUCAAAAAAUAGUCAGGGACCCAAUUGCUUUUUUAAAAAAGUUGCAGGGACCUGAUUGCUUUUUCUUAAACUUACAGAGAUACUAACAUAUCGGCCCUACAUGUAAGGUAACAUCAAACAAAUGGUCGGUUCUCUUACGUGCGGGUCCCAACUAUCAUAAUCACGAUUAAUUUUAAAGCACUCUGUUUUAAGGGUUUUUUGAAACAGUCAACCCCUUAUUUGGUAGUUAUCAGCGAAAAAUUAAAAAGCGGUAGGUUUUUGGAACCCUAGCCUGUAAGAUAGUAGUUUUAUGCUAUUUACUCUAUAUUAUGGGACGGAGGGAGUAGUAGAAACAUUGUAGACAUGAUGGAUUGUUUCUGCUAGCUAAAUGGAGUGAGGAUUGACCGGUGGUCAGGCCUUAAUUACCACGUUUAUGAGGUCAGCGGUGGCGAGCUUGGAUCGCACUCCCGUGCGGCAACCCUACGCGAACACGAGCACACAAAACUUGAUCACAUAUACAAAUCUGAAAGGAAAACCCAUGCAUUUUGGGAGGGAUGAUGGAUCAAAUGAUCACUAGUCACUUAAUUACCACGAUCAAGGGCUCUUCUUUCCCGUAGAGCGCGGACACCUCCUCCACAAAGCGUGGGUUCUUCUCCUUCCCUUGAGACAAGAGCUCAAGAAAAGGUAAAAAUCUUUUUGCUCAUCACGGCAAGAACCUUACAAGAAGAUCGAGCUAGCUAGGCUGACCUUGGGGAGUGACGGAGAGGUAGUAGGGGACGUUGCGAGCGCCGGCGCGUGCUCCUUGUCGAAGUCCUCCCGCAUCCUGACGUCGAGGUACCCGUGGCCGCCGUCGCUGCUCAGCAGCGUGCGCGCAUGGCCGGCGUCGACGGUCGGGGUGCUGACUAGCUGCUCGUUGUUAGCAGAAGCCAUUGAUGGAUCGAAUGAUUGGUCGACGUAUGGCUAGCCCAAUUUUUUGCCGCGGUUGAUCUACCUGAGCAUUGCUCCUUUAUAUAUUGGCAUGGCAGAAUGGAUAUUCCCACCAUCCGAUCCAGUUGCCAAAAGUCUUCGCCCGGCUUGAUAAUUAGUUUAAUUCUUGUGGAGGUGUAGGUGUCGUCAUUGCAUAAUUAACUACCAACAGCUACGCACGAGUGUGUAUUCUAACUAUGCAGAGGUCGGGUGUGCACUUAUUGUGUUUGUAUCCUCUUGAUGCUUCAUUUUGAGACAAUGAAAUUCACCUUUUGUCGAAAAACGUAUGAGUGCAUAUAAUAUAGACUAUAUUGUAUAGUCUAGCAAUUUGAAAAUGUAUGUGCAGCCCUGAAUUUUCAGAAGAGACAUGCAUGCAUGUGCAGGCCUGAAUUUUCAGAAGAAACAUGCAUGCAUUUACUUUAGACUGCAACACCUAUAGUACUGAAUAUUGAUUAAUGAUUAUUCGCCAUAGAAAAGAAUAGUCAUGUAAACCGACUGUUAGAAAGGAGAGAGGGAUUUGGUGAAAUAAUUCGUUGUAUUGCUUGAACCUCAUGGACAUAUAUAUAUAGGAGUACAAAGACCAACUUGGAGUACAAGACAAGGCAGGACAAAAUCCUAGUCUAUCCUAUACUUCUAAUAAUCCUUAUACUCAACAUCCCCCCGCAGUCACAACGGUAGCGACACAGACGGUGAGACUGGAGGGUCGGGGCGACCGGCGGGCAGACACGCAGACGACGCGAGAUGCCACCGGGUCGGGGCGACCGGCGGGCAGACGCGCGGACGACGCUCGAGGCCGCCGGGUCGAUGAAGAAGCCGGCCGAUCGCGCCGGUGUUGGAGUAGAGGCGCACGGGGUCGACGGCGGCGGUGGGCGACGCAAACCGGUCAAGAUUAGAUCGGAAAACCAAGAAGAAACCGCCGAUCAAGAUGAACGGCGGGAAAGAGAAAACCCCGGAGCAAGGGCUCGGGGAAAAGACUCUCUAGGGCAACCGGUCAACACGACCGACGGGCGAACCCUAGGUACGGGCGGCGCGGCCCCCGGCGGCGGUCAUGGAGGACGACCGCCCCAGGGGCAGCGCGCGGGUGCGGAAGCGUCGGCAGCUAGGGUUGAGGAUCGAUUAGGCUGAUACCAUGUUAGAAGGGAGAGAGAGAUUUGGUGGAAUAAUUCGUUGUAUUGCUUGAGCCUCGUGGGCAUAUAUAUAGGAGUACAAAAACCAACUUGGAGUACAAAACAAGGCAGGACCAAAUCCUAGUCUAUUAUGUACUUCCUAAUAAUCCUUAUACUCAACACCGACAAAAGAAGUAUAAGCAUGUAGAAGUACAUGGAUUGAGCAGACAAAAUAAAUAUUGCUGCAGUUAAUUUACCUAAGCUUUGUUUCUUAGUAUCAUUUCUAUAUUACUACAUCCGUUUCUUUUACCUUGCGUAUUAGUUUUGUGAUAAGUCAAGCUAUGAAGACGUGCUAAGAACUAAGUUUGUAGAAAAAAAUAUCUGUAUUCACGUCAUCAAAUCAAUAUAUCCAUCUUGGAUUUUUUUUUCAUAUUGUAUUUGUUUGUACUUGACUUCUUUUAAUAUAAAUUUGGUUGAACUUUAUAAAGUUUGACUCAAGACAAAACUAAUAUGCAAAAUAAAAGGAAACUAAAUGAGUAUAUACUGGCAUGGCAUUGGGCAUUCUCAAGCAACUGAACAUAUUGGCAGGACUUAGGAAAAUUAUCUGAUCAGAUUAUCAAAAGUCUUCGCUCGCCUAGCUAGCAAUGUGCCGUCAAGAACAUGCAUGCAUGUGCAACUAGGAUGGAUCAAUCGAAUUGACUUUAUGUUUGCACUUUUAUAUUUUCCCCUCGAGCAAUGUAGUAUAAUUUACUUCAGUUAUGGGCGUCCACUACUGCAUAACAGCCCUCCAGUUACGGGCCCUAAACUCCCUACAGUGACGUGCCAAGGAGUAUGAUUGUGUCUAACGAGAGUAAGAUCCUAUCUAACGUUUUGCUUGGAGGUUUGCCGGGCAGAAGCCAUCCGAGUUGCUUCUUCUGCCUUGAGUUCUCAGAAUGCGAGGCUAUCCCGGUGUGCGACCGCAAGGGCCUUGGGCAGUGGGAGACCUAGGAUCGAUCAUAGCAUUGGGGAUGCCAAAUAAUGUAAUUUGAUCUGACAUCAUCAUUAUCCUAGCAAAUACUCCUCAAAUAGCAUUGUGUUCUUAGAUAAUUAGUGUCUAGUGUGUAAUUCAAAGUGGACAGCACUUUUAGAUGGAUGCAUGGCACCCUUAGAUCCGCUCCUGGCCUUGGCUAGGCAUCUCAAGUGUGAUAAAAAAAACCUAGUGAGCGGGUCAAUGUGUUUUUGCUGUUAUCUAUAUUCCAUAUGUUUUUCCCCUGUACGGCUCCCCAUGCCUUUACAUUUAUUAUAAAUCAUAACCCUUCGGCUCCCUAUGCCUUUACAUUUAUUAUAAAUCAUAACUCAUCUUAAUAAAUGAAAUCAAGUGUCAGGGAUUUUGUUAAAAAUAUAUACUAUAUUGGGAAGUCUCCUCGCGCUAGGAUUAGAAGUAAUCUGGCUAGUGGCUGUAUAGACGGGCAAAAGAAGAGUCCUCCACACGUUGAGAACUACUCCCUCCGUUCGGAAAUACUUGUCGAAGGAUUGGAUGUAUCCAGACGUAUUUUAAUUCUAGAUACAUCAAUUUUUGCCUACUAUCGUCGGAGAUUUUGUCGAAUUCUUGCUACUACUAGUCAAUGUGUACGUGCAAUGCACGUUAAUUUGAAAGUAUAUUAAGUGCAUGCGGAAAUUAAGUAGGAUAUUAUUUGCGUAUUAUUAUGUGAUUAGCAUUAUAUUUGGCAUGAAAUUAACUGCCCGCUAAAUGUGUUGAGUGCUCGACAUUGAAGCAGUCUAGGUCGUUGGAUUGACAUGAUUUGAUGGUCGAGAUUAAUUGGAUCUACCCCUUUGAGUCUUUUUAUAUUGGUAUAGAUAUAUCGUCAGGAAACUACUCUUUUACAGGAAAUCCGUUGGUGCUCACGGGAGCGCGCGUGAAAAUAUUUUUUGAAAUGACAAAAAAAUAACAAAUAUUAUAUGUGUUCCUUGUCCCAUCCAAAUGCUACAUACAAAUUUGUAGGCAAAAAGAUUAAACAUUUUGGCCUGUGCAAAAAAACAAAAAAAACACCAAAUGUCACACUAAAUUUGUUUUUUUCACCGGCGAAACACCGCUGCUCCGUUUCGCAUGAAAAUUUUCAAGGAUUCUUGCGACACUAAUAUGAACAUCUACAACAUUCACAAAAAUCAAUAAAAAAACAAUGAUGAUAGUGGUGAACAUCUAAAUUAUUUUGUUUUUUUAUAGAAGCUUAGCAUGGUAGUGGUUCCCCAUGCACAAUGAUGAUGCACAACAUUCGUUGUCUAAUAACAAAUAAGGAUGACAGUUACAAAAAAACAUCUACAAAAAAAUCAGAUUUUUUUUAAACAAUUACUAUAUUUUUUCUUUUACUAUUCACGCGGAAGCGCACGCUCCCGGGAGCCAAAACGUCAUUCUCCACUUUUACUACCUACCUGCAUAUACAUAUAGAUUCAGUAGAAACAAAAUGAUCAAUACGCAAUCAAUUCAAUUUAGUAUCAGUUAGCAGUCACGGUAGACCACCACGUUUCUUAUGUUCCAGCGGUGCAUUGUCAUCAUUCGAUUUGUAAGAAUAGUUUUUAUGUGUACGUAAGCCGAAGCAAAAUAACGAUAACUUGAGUAUAACGUCGUUCACCUCAUGUGUUGUUCAAGAUGGCGAUUCCGUUGCUUCGGGAGCUGAUCCAGGAGGUAUUGGUGUUGCAGUCAAUGCACCAGUUGGCGUGUCAGUUGAUGGAGCAUCAGAGGAAGGAAGUUGUCCAUCCUUUUGCCAAGCUACUGUUUGGUGGGUGGGUUGAUGGGACACCCAAGGAAGAACACUGACCAUCUUUUUGCCCUGACGAAGCAAAAGUAAAUGGCAAAGUAAUUAGAGCCACCGUUGUAUCUAGAACAAACAAUACUUUUUAAAAAUAUUCAUAUCUUUUAAACCCUAACUCCAAUUUUAACAUGUUAUAUAUGAAAUAUGAUUAAAAAAUGUGUAGAAUAUGAGUAUCAUGUUAUUUUACCUAUUAAAUAAUUUGAAAAUGCUAUUUAGGGUGCAACCUUAAUCAAUAGCGCAUGAUUCAUCUUCCUUUCGUACCGACACUGACCCAAAUUGCAAAUGAACACCUCAUCAAAGCCAAAUUGGAGACGAAACAAACCAUCGAUAACCGUGCAUGCACGCCUCGGCAAACCGUUACAUGGGAAAGAAAACAGAUUUCUCAUCCUAUGCCGAGAGAGAGAGAGAUAGAUAGAUAGAGAGAGAGAGAGAGAGAGAGAGAGAGAGAGAGUGAAGCCUCGGCAAGACCUACUGGGGUCUUGAGUCAUGGUUAUUGGAUUUGGGUCGUGCGGUACUUUCUUCUCCUGUUACAACGCACGGGCUAUUUUGCUGUUUUUUAUGUAUAAAACAACAAAGUUAACUAAACAAGCCGGCACAACUCUAUCGACGCAACCAACAAAGUUACUAUCUAUCUAUAAAACAACAAAGUUAACUCGUCACCCUAUCGAGGCAUCUAUGCAUGGCAAGGUGAUCGUGUCAUCCGGAUAUUGCAUGUAGUUGCAGCUUUUACUAGAUCUAAUGAGUCUGUCUUAAAUGUCAAGGGUUUUAUAAAUUUUGUAAGUCGUAUAUUUUUUUCCAAUCAGACUCACAUGCCCCCAUUCGAGAUUUUUGUUGAGGUUUUUUAAGCACCACAUGCAAAACCCCAUAGUUUUCCAACACGCAAAAAAAAUUGGAUAGUAGUCCGAGGAGACCGGUUUGAUGAGCGUCUAACUUCAGAGUACGACAUAUAUAGAACACCUAGGGACAGCGCGACAUGUUGCCGCUUAUGACUGGCCACUAUUUUUAGCCAAUUAUAUACUAUAUGGAUGUGAGAUUAUCUUGUGGUUCUCCAUCGUGCCAUGCAGACAUGCUUACCCUUAUAUAAACUCGCCAUAAGGAUUUUGACGCAUGAUUGUCUUCUUAUCAGAGAAAAGUUUACACAUAACUUCCAAUCCAUGAAUUCAUCCCGCAAGUUCUUCAUGGUUGUUGUCGUCCUUGCCUUGCUCGUCGUGGCUACGGGUGAGAAUUUACACUGGAUUUACUCAUUUCCUUUCUUUUUGACACACUGCCCUUUUUGUUGUCGUUUAACAAAUUAUUAUUGCUAACUAAAACAUGGCAGAUAUGAGCUUUCACUUUUGCUUUACCAGGCUAGAAAAUCACAUGAGGCCAUCAUAUAUGACAAGGAAUAUUCGCAAGACAUGAAUAUCAAUUGGUACGAUAUUUUCAUAAGAAAUAAAAGCACAAAAGGGGUGUCUUAAAAUAUCUAAUACAAUAUAAGUGGUAAUCUAGUGAGACAAAAACUUAUGUAGAUACAUCAUCAUGCGUGAUUUGAUUUUUUUUUUUUGAAAUAACCACAUAUAUUCCAUUAGUAGACAAACUUAUUGCAGAGAGUACAUAUGCGGCCACCACAUGAGACAUACAUAGGUGUCUUACAUUUUUGCACUAAAGAUCCUCCUACCAGUACAUAUGCGUGAUUUGAUGUAUUUAACAUACUUUUCCAAUGUGUGGGUGUGUUUGUGUUGUUUAGAGAUGGCACCGGCGCAGGCGGUAGACUGCAGGACAGCGAGCACCCGGUUCAACGGCAUAUGCAUCCUGGACAGCAGUUGCGCCAACAUGUGCAUCACCGAGGGGUUCCUGGCUGGCGGGGACUGUGAAGGCCUCCACCGGCGAUGCAUGUGCAAAACACCAUGCUAGGCGAAGCAUAUGCAUAGUCUGGACUGCUUCAUCAGGAAGUUUUCCCGAUUUAGAUAAAAACAAGGAAAAAAUCUAAAAGAAAAGAAAAUGGAGUUGUGACACAUAUUGUGUUCUUUUAUUUUUUUCCACAUGUUCCUUUGGAAAAUUGUGGUUGUGCAUUUGAUGCAUUUUUGUUGAUCGUACAAUCCAGUUUGAUGUGUUUUUUUUUUUUUGUAAACUUGAAGUUGGCCAUUUAGUCAUUGUGUAAGAUUAUUUUCCAAGGUUCAUUCAUUUGUGAUCAUGCAAUGCAGUAUUGUACUACUAGUAACCGUAGUGUUUCUAGUAGCAUAAAUUUCUUUCUCUAACUUUUGAACGUUGACAGUGAAGACAAAUAGAUGGAUGCAACGAUUUUGGUGGUUGCAUGGUCUGAACACGGAGAUCUCAAAUAAAAAUGAUAUAAGGUUGCACGAUAUAUAAUAUUUCGGCUCCACCAAAGAAUCAGUAUCUUUUCUCCUUGAAAUUUUUGCUAGUGUCCAUGAGCCGUGACUAAAUUAUCGAUAUGCCAAAACUAUCAACAUCAUUAUUUUGAUAAAUAUAGUUUGUCAAAAAGGGAGUGAAGUUGUUUAUUUAUGUCUUGUCUCUUGGUAUUAAUGACGCCAGUGAUCGGUAGUUUCAUAGUUUUGUUAUUUGUCGAAUGAUGGAUCAAAUGAUUAUCUCCAAAUGACAACUGAGAAUCAUCAGAUCAAACUUCAAGAUUCAUGUAGGUGCUAAGAGGACGAGAAAUCAGAUCUGACAUUAGUAACAACUAUCAGUAGUUGAUUGUGAAAUCACCAUCGAUAAGUCAAUUGAGCUCUUGUAGACAUCGUAAUCAUGUCUCUCUUUUUUCUUAGCCUUGAUUUGCCUCAUGCCCUCAUUGAUACUUUAGCUAAACCAUGUCGUGCACUGCAUGUCGAGGUGGCCAAAGACGUACAUGUUCUACUCCAAUUGGUACUUGUCACCAUGUUCAAGGCAUCCAUGCAUGGUAGGGUGAUCAUAUCAUUCGGACAUUAGAUAUAGUUGUUGCACCUUUUACAAGAUCUAUAUAUUGACCCACUUGUAACUUUCCAAGGGUUUUAUUAAUUCAGUAAGUAUUAUAUUAUGCCGGUCGGGAAUGCAUGCUCGUUCGAGUACCUACUUUAUCUCACAAAGUAAAGACAAAAAUAGUAUUGUAAAGUCGUUUUAUAAUCUAUUAAUUCUGAAUGAUAUACAAUUUUCUUUCGAAGUCUUGUGGCAGGCUAAAUUUCACCAAUAUUAAGGUUUUCUUGUGGCUUACUUUGUGUAACAGUAUUCUCACAAAAGACAAUCUUUUGAAAAGAGGUUGGAUUGGAAAUAAAAAUCGUGCUUUGUGGCAAAGAGGGGUCGGCUGAUCGCCUUUUUUGCAUUGUUCGGUUGCUAAGUUCAUGUGGAGACUACUACAGUACACUUUCAGUUUGAAAUUACCUAUUGCAAACAUGAACACUUUGUUUACUUAUUGGCUUGAUCAAUAUGGUAAAGAGAAAACGAUGAUGCUUACUAUUGGCAUUUCUACUACAAUGUGGUCUAUUUGGAAUUGUAGAAAUGAAAUUUGUUUUGAAUGCAUGAGGGUGCUUGAUCCUUCAGUGAUUCUUCAUAGAGCAUGUUCCUUGAUCACCUCUUGGGCUAUCUUACGGAGAAACCAGAAAAAGCAAAGGAAACUGAUUGUGUGUGNNNNNNNNNNNNNNNNNNNNNNNNNNNNNNNNNNNNNNNNNNNNNNNNNNNNNNNNNNNNNNNNNNNNNNNNNNNNNNNNNNNNNNNNNNNNNNNNNNNNNNNNNNNNNNNNNNNNNNNNNNNNNNNNNNNNNNNNNNNNNNNNNNNNNNNNNNNNNNNNNNNNNNNNNNNNNNNNNNNNNNNNNNNNNNNNNNNNNNNNNNNNNNGGGGGAGGCUGCUCGAGCGGGUAACAAGUGAGAUCAUCGACGGUACUAAUAAAGAAUGGUGCCUUGAAGUUUUGCAGAUUACAAGUGGCUAUCAAGAAGGACGCAUGAAGAUCUUUUUCUGCUAUCUCCGUGCUGAGCAACCUCUACUUUUGGGGUCAUGUUUAUACUUUUGUUGUGUGUGUUUUCCUAGAUUUUCUCCCUUUAAAACCUACGCAGUAUGGAGUCACUUUGUGGCAUUCCUAUAGCUAGUAUGGCUAGAGGUGGACUUCGUCUCAGGCUCUUGAUAUAGGUUGUUGUGAUGUUAUGUUGCAGUAGCUUAGUGUUUUUGGUACGCUGUUCCUGGUUGAUGUGCUUGUAAGAAUCUCUAAUGGUUUCCUUUAAUGGAAAUCGGGGAGGGAGCCAAAAAACUUACUUUGUGUCUAAGUUAUUUUGAGAGAUACAUUUUUACACAAAUGAGAACUAGACUACUAGUCCGAUAACAUUGGAUUGACUAGGGUCUAACAUUGGAGCAACAUAUAUCAAUCUGUGACUGGCCAUAAUAUUUUAGCCGGUUAUAUAUAACAUCACAACAUGAGACAAUUUUGUGGUUCUCCGUCAGUGGCGGAGCUUCAACAGAAUUUGAGAGGGGGCUAAAUGAGUUAUAAAUAGAGUUGAGGGGGCUAAUCUAAUGUAUUGUGUUAAAUUUGACCCUAAAAGAGUUAAAUAUAUAUGUGUUUAUGUAAAGAAAUAGGUUUGGUUGAGGGGGCAAUGGCCCCCUUUGGCCCUCACUAAGCUCCGCCACUGUUCUCCGUGGUUUCAUGCAUGCAUGUUCAUCUCUUAAAUUAAACUUGGCAAGAGGAUUUUGGCGCAUCAUCGCCUUCUUGACAAGAAGUGUACAUAUAACUUAUAUACCAUUGGCUCCCAGGGCAAAUUCUUCAUGACCCUCGCCGUCCCCACUUUGCUCGUCGUGACCACGGGACUCUCCUCUUUUUUCUUUUUCAAUAUAGUGACAUUAUUUAUACAUUUAACAUACUUUGCCAAUGUGUGGUUGUGUUGGUUUGAUGUAGAUGUUGUGCCAGCUCAGGCGGCGGAGUGCAAGACGGUGAUCACCCCGUUCAACGGUAUGUGAAAUGCUGGAUAGCAGCUGCACCAACAUGUGCAUCACCGAGGGGUUCACGUUGGGUGGAGAGUGUGAAGACCUCUGCUGGCAAUGCAUGUGCAAUAUGCCAUGCUAGGUCUUUGAAUCCAAGUGAAGGCAAGUCAGCAACUUGUCAAGGGCAUCUCUUGUUUCCCAUGUUAAAUAAAGCAAGGACACAAAGUAUUCUUUUUUUCUAUUUUCUAAAAGGCCAAAUAUAAUACUCCCUCCAUCCCACAAAUUGGUGUAGUAACAUCUUAUAUUAUGGGACCNNNNNNNNNNNNNNNNNNNNNNNNNNNNNNNNNNNNNNNNNNNNNNNNNNNNNNNNNNNNNNNNNNNNNNNNNNNNNNNNNNNNNNNNNNNNNNNNNNNNNNNNNNNNNNNNNNNNNNNNNNNNNNNNNNNNNNNNNNNNNNNNNNNNNNNNNNNNNNNNNNNNNNNNNNNNNNNNNNNNNNNNNNNNNNNNNNNNNNNNNNNNNNNNNAUAUAUUGUGUAUUUUUCACAUGUUCGUUUUCGUAUUUUCGUGUUUCUUCUUACCGGAGAUUUCCAAUUUGAUGUGUUGUAAACUUGAAGUUGGCCGUUUGGUCUAUCUUUGUGUAAGAUCAUUUCUUUUCGGAGGUAUAUUUGUGAAUGUGUGAUCUAGUACUAUUGCAGUACACCUAUCCGUGAUUUGUGCUAACAUUAGGAAUGUGGAGCUUCACUUCCAAUAUGGAAAGACAUCAAUCCAGUUGAUAAUCUCAAGCUAGAACUGUUAAUCUAUGAUCUACAUUUUUUUAGACAACCCUAUGAUCUACAUGUAUUUCUCUUGGCCCUCUCUGUUUUACAAUACAAAAUGAACUCGAUCAAGCUACAUUAUAUAUAGGGCGGGCCCAUUAGCACAGGUUGGCAGGAUUUCCCCCCUUUUAUUUGUGUUAUUUUUUGUGUCUCAAAAAGUAGUAUUAUUUUUUAAUUUAAAAACAAAUAAUUUUUAAAGUAACUUCACAAUGUAUUUUAAAAUCUCAUCACAUUUAAAUUGCUUCACAUAUUUAAAAAAUAUGUUCAUGCAUUUUGGAAAAAUGUUCAUGAAAUCUAAAAGAAGUUUUCAUCGAGUUUGAAAAGGUGUUCACACUUUUUAUAUUCAUACACUAUUUAAAAACUUCAUACAAUUAAAUAUUCAUGUAUUUAGCAUAAACGUUCAUGUAUUUUCAAAAUAAAUCAUGAAAUUUAAAAUGGGCUCAUGAAAGAUGUUCACGUGUUUUGAAAAAAAAAUGGUAUUUGUCGAAAAAGGUUUUUAUAUAUAUGGAUUAGUUACAGUUAAAACUGGGAAAAUAAAAGAGUAAAGGGAAAAUAUUUGAAAUUAACCAAAUAGGAAAAAAAGGGUAAAUUAUGCCCAAAAUUAUAAAAGCUAAAUACGGAAAACCGAAAAAAAGGAUAAGAACAAAAACUAAAAUCCAGAAAACUGUACGAAAACCGUUUGCCAAAAGAACUAUGAUCAUGUAUUUCUCUGGUCUCUCUCUCUGUACAGUACAAAAUGAACUCGAUCAGAAAAUAAAACUCCCUUGUACAAAAAUGAAAUAAAAUAAAACUCCCGCUACCUUAUAUAUAGGGCCGGCUCAUUGGCCCAAGGGGCUGGAUUUUUUUCCGUUUUUAUUUGUGUCAAAUUUUUUUAUUUCAGUUUUAUUUGAAAAAUAACUAACAUUUAGGUAAUUUCAAAAUGUAUUUUAACAAAUAUCUGUGGCACUUAAAUUGCUUCACAUACUAUAAAAUAUGUUUGCGCACUUUGAAAAAUGCUCAUGAAAUUUAAAAUAAGUGUUCACGAAAUUCGAACAGCCAUGAUUUGUAGGAAUGUGGAGCUUCACCUUCAAUAUGGAAACACAUCAAACCAGUCGGCAAUCUCAAGCUAGCAACUGACGCUCACGACCUACUGCUUUAAAUAUUUCUCUAGCUAUUAUUUACAGUACAAAACGAACACGAUCAAGCGCACAAACUAGUCUCAUCAGUCACCUCUGAGCGUCAACCACUCUCUCUGUCCGAAAGCCCCUGGGGUACACGAGCACGGAGUCGACGCAGAGGCCGCCCUUGGUGUGGGUGCAGUCGAUCUGCGCCAUGGAGAACUUGACCCUCACCGGCCGUCCCUGACCGUGCUCCUCCGUGUCCGGGGCGACCACGAAGUCGCCGGCGUGGUACAGCGCCCAGCUCCCCGGCUCGUCGUCCAGGUAGCGCUGCGACACGGCGUUCUGGCCGUCCGACGUCGACAGCUGGAACCGCACCGGCUUCCUGUCCCAGCCGUGGAUGCCGCUGCCGGCGUUCUUCUCGGAGCCGCAGCCGCGGCGGCCGGCGUGCCUGGAAGAAGAGGGCUUCCCGAGGUGGAGCCUGAAGUAGAGGCUGUAGGUCCCCGCCGGGAAGCGGAAGUCGAUCUCCCCGACCACCUCGAACCACCAGAUUUGCUGCAGGUACGCCACGGACUGGAACCUGCAGGGGCGAGCAGAGAAAGAAAGGUUCAGAUUUGUGUAACAAUCUUUUUUUUCUUUUUGCGGGAUCUUUGUGUAACAAUCUGACCAAACAAUCAUCAUCAAGUGAAAUAGAAUUAUAUAUAUAUGCAACGAUUUGUUGGUCGUAUUCAACGAUUUUGUUGGUUGCAUGAUCUAUGAACAUUUCAAAAGAAAGGGACGUAAGGGUUGACACGAUAUUUCAAAUGUCAGUACUACAAAAAUAUAUAUUUGAAAAAUUCAAGCCCCGUCGAAAAUAUCUCUACUCACGAACUAUCUCCUGUCAAUUAUUGCCGGUGUCCAUGAUUACCUCAUCGAUAUGCAAGGUGGCAACCGCGGUAUUUGGAGCAAUACAAGUUUGUCAAAAAGGGAUGAAAGCUACUUUGUUUCACUCUUUUUGGCAUCAUCAACGGUAUAAUGGUAGAUAUUUCUUUUACAUAAAGAUAAUGGUAGAUAUUUUCAUUCUACUAGUACAAAUUAAACAAGGUAGAGAUGUGUGAUAUGCAAAACAGAAGAUGAGAAACAUUAGUAGUACCAAGCAUAUGAUUGGAAGCAAGAUCUGAAUUCAAAAUUACCUAGACUCUGUAUUUGGCAUGUGAACCCAAUAUCUCCUGUCAUCGAUCCCCGUUAUCACCAACGAUUUCGAGGAUAAUGCCAUGCAAACCAUGCCUGUGCUCUUCUCCAACCAGAAUUCCUGCCGGGCAAACAGAGGAGUGUUCUUCGUCAAAACAAGAAACAGAGAUACACGAGUGUAAGAAAUCGAUUGUAAAACCAUUCUCAAAGAAGAGAUUAAGGCUUUUCGUGCACGGCAUAUUUUGCAUUAGUCUAUGGUGACAUAGCACAAGCGGGAACUUUUAAAACGGGCCUAUCAUGAUUUCCUCACAGCUCAUAGUUUCUUGCUUUUUCUUAGUUUCUUGUACAACAGGUAUGGAACUUUAACCCCAAAUUACUAAAGCAGCUGUAAGUUCUUAUCAAAUUAAAUUUUGUAAAGAUUUAGACAAUUUUCCUUGAAAUUCUGGCAUCAGUUUAGAGAACCAAACAUAUUAAUAGUCAAAACGUAGGGAAGGUAUGAACAAUUAUUUCAAAAAAAAUAUGAACAAAUUCAGAACACCGUUACGUUUUCUAAACAGGCUAUUGAAAUAUCUACGGGUUUUUUUUUGACGAAAAAUAUCUAGAGUUUAGAUUUCCAACGAUCUCUCAAAAUUCCAUUUCAGUCCCACAAAACUGCUGGAAGAACACUGUGGAAAUCAAAAUGAAAUUAUCCACACACACAGUGAUUAUAACUUUAUAAGGAAGAAAAAUCUCACCCUUUUGCCGUCGUCAAACCGCACUGCCUUGGCGAGCCUGGCGUAGACCUCCUUCUUCCCCACGGCGCCCCUCUUCCCACCCCCUUCCACGUCCUCCCCGGCGCUGCCACGGACGAACCCCAUGAGGUACCCGUAGUUCUCCGGCAGCUUGGCCUCCCACACGAAGUCGGCGCCCGCGGCGCUGCGGAACGCGCGGUUGAGCCGCGCGAGCCGGCAUAUGUCGGGCGCGCCCAGCCGGAGCAGCACCUCCCCCGCGCACAGCUCCGGCAUGUCGCCCAGCCCGGACCCCGCCGCCUCCGCCGGUGCCGCGAGGUCCGACGCGCCCGCGCCCAUGCUGCCUAUGCCUGGCUCCGCGGCGCGAGGAACGCCGCGCUUGAUUCCAGUGCUGCUCGUAGCUCUCGUGAUGAGCUCGUACCAGAUAGCUAACGCGCCAAGAACAAGCAGGCCGGAACUUGUGGACGGCCUUGCAGGAGGGAGAAGGAAUCGGAUGCGGAGAAUCGGGUUGGUAUGAGCGAGUGCUGGAAUCUGUUCGAAGCUGGAGCGCGUGGUGCUCGUGUGACGGAAGAAACGGGAGCGCGAACGAGGGCGAGAGGAAAGGGAAGAGGCGAAGAAUGCGGGAAGGGGAAGCGCGGGGUGGCCGGAACGGACCAAUUUAUUAUCCUCCCGGGCGACUUCCUCACUUCGGGGGCUCGACCCGUUGGCUGGGCAGCUUGGGUUGCCCGGGUUCGAGCCUCGGCUCUUACACGCGGUCCUCGCGGAGUUUCUCCUAUAAAUAAAAGCCAACGAGGGUUAGCCUUUAGGUUGGUCUUUUUUUGACUUCCUCUCUUCUUGUGUCACAAAAACCCCUUUCAAAAGUUGAAACUGCCGACGGGUUCCAUGAGCUUUGGCGGCCGCUUAGCCGCCCCCAGGACCGAGACGUCAUCUCCGCCUUCUUCGCCGACCUUCGCUCGAUGGUUGUUCGUCUAUCGCCGCCGCCUCCACCGCCUCCCCCCGAGCCAGAUUAGGGGCCAGGCGCUCUUCCCGGCCUCCCCCGGUCUUUUUUUUGGGCUUGUUGAACUGUGCCCUUAGUAGAAUCUUUGUACUCUAUGUCGUGCAUUUUGGGUGUGUGUGUGUUGUGAACUAGUCCGUGUAUGAUUGCUUUGUGGUGGUUUGUUUUAUUUAUAAAGCGGGGCGAAAGUCUUUUUCGGUAAACCGCCGACGGGUUUUGGGUACCAAACGUCAUAUACGGUUUCGGAUUGCGACGCACCACUAGUGUCUGCUGCAUUAAUAGUACAACAGCUUGGGCUCAAUGUUUUCCAUUUCGGAAACAGAUUCCAAAUGUAAUUUUUCUUGAAGAAAGUUUACCAAAUUAUGACGAUGUUUGACUAAAAAACUGAAUUUAAUUCGGAUAUAGUCUAAAAUUUCAAGAUAGAAAAUUCCUCUACUACUACUUCACAUCCACUCGUGGAAAAGAUCGUGUUUUUAACGGUGUAACCCACUACUCGCUGGCCGUCGUAUGCACAGCAAGGCACCAAAACCUUACCAUUUUUGCCCCACCCUUUGAUCCUUGUCUCCCCACACAACCAUCUUCAUCGCCAAGUGAUGACGCAAUUGAAGGCAUAGUCAAAGCAAAACCAUAAGAACAGAAACAGGCACCAACUAAAAAUUUGGACAACUUUUUAAAAAAUAGCGAUAUUUGUGAGAAUAUGGAAUGCACUUUUAGGAAAAAAGUACAAUAAGUAAACACGGCAACAAUGGUUCAAAAAAACAUGACAACAUGGACUAGCCCUUGUGUUAUUUUGUUAAGAAGAAAUAUAGGCACAUGGCGAAUGUAGCCAAGGAUCAAACUCGGGUAGCGGGCUAGGUCGCCUGGCUAGCCGCAUGCCGCUAACCAAUUGAUCAAUGUCCAUUUUUCGUCAUUGGGCUUCCCGGUUUUGUUACGAAAAUAAACCGCAUAUUUCAACAACUCGGUAUAAUUCUACCACAAUCUGUAUCNNNNNNNNNNNNNNNNNNNNNNNNNNNNNNNNNNNNNNNNNNNNNNNNNNNNNNNNNNNNNNNNNNNNNNNNNNNNNNNNNNNNNNNNNNNNNNNNNNNNNNNNNNNNNNNNNNNNNNNNNNNNNNNNNNNNNNNNNNNNNNNNNNNNNNNNNNNNNNNNNNNNNNNNNNAUAAUCCAGAACAGUUCAAAGCUGAUAAUUUUUUCCCAAAAAAUGAUUGUUGCCAACUUUGCCGCUUCCGAUAAUCUGGUUAUAACGAGACGCCCAACUAAUGAAGCUUUCGGCCGAACUAAACUAAUAAUCAAGCUGUUGUGACCUUUGCUAGCUCCAAAAGUGCAAUCCAAUAUUAUUAUUUUUUGCGGGUGCAAUCCAAUAUUGUUAACUGUUAAGAGCUAGGAUCCCCACUUUUCUAUGCAUCGUGAAAAUAAUUAAGUUUGGUAGCUUAAAUUCGAUGAACCCAGAAUCUGAUGAAACCAACAUUUCUGCUGCCUUGGUGUAAAGAAGGCAUGGGACAUCCUGAGAUCUUUGUUUAUCCGGCUAACCAAUCUUGAUUGCUGCCUUUCCGUCUCAGCGGCCACCUAAUUUGUGGAUCCAAUUCAACCUCGCAUGAUGCACUCUUUUUCUAUAGUUGGGGAAUAAAGAGCAAGAAAAUUUCUUGGCUCUACAUCAUACCAAGGACUAAACAAAACAAAGGGAAAACCAAAGAAUGAAACCGAACACAGUCUACUCCUUCUGUAUUCGAAAUAAAUGCAUGCAGACCAAGGAAUGGAGUAAAGAGUUCAAAUCUGCAUGCUUAAUCCCUAACUAAGCCUAUGCCAAAAACCCAAAACUAAUCUCUCCUCAACCACAGCGACUUAAUCCACUUCUUUUCGCAACUGAUGGCACGCACGGACGCACCUGCGAACGGCGGUUUUCUGCUUCGGCGGCAUUCUUAUUCUCCCUUUUCCUUUUCUUUUCUUCCUAUGACAUACGGGCCCCACACAUCUGCAAUAACUGUCGUCAUCCUAGUUGUUUGCCCUUUGCCAUGUCACCCUGGUUGGUGGGCCCUGCCUGUCAGUUUUUCUGCCAAUAUGUGAUCAAUAGACUGGUUAGUGCUUUCGGCAACACGAUUACUCAAAAUCGAUAUUUUUGGCAAACUUUUAUGAAAACUGUGUUUUUUGGCACUGACGCAAUUUUGGUGUUUUUUUUGGCAAUUUACUCGUUUUGGGAACAAAACGCCAGAUACGGUUUUGGGUUGCGACACACCACUAGUUAUUGGCGCUGCUACAUUGGAGUAGACCACUUUGGGCUAGGAGGGGCUCAAUGUUUACAGUUUCGAAAACAAAUUGCAAAUGUAAUUUUUCCGGAAGAAAUCAAAUCAUGACGAUGUUUGACUAAAAACCGGAUUUAAUUUGAAUGUCAAAUCAUGACUCUUCAUUGGUGAAUGAUGCCGCCAUUGAAGGCAUAGUCGAGCAGAAAGAAGUACCAACUAAGUUUGGACAAUUCAAGAAAAAUAUAUAGAUGGUAAAUCACUAAGCUUUCAAAAAAAACAUGGCAACACGGACAAGCCCCUAUGGUAUUUUGUUAAGAAGAAAUAUAGGCACACACCCAAUGGAGCCAAGGAUCAAACGCAGGUGGUGGGCUAGGUCGCCCAGCUAGCCGCAUGCCACUAGCCAAUUGAUCAAUUUUCACUGAGCUUUCCGCUUUUAUUACAAAAAUAAACCGCAUAUUUCAACUACAUGGUAUAAUUUCAGCACAGUCCUCAAACCUUAGUUUUGAACAACUUGUAUCAUAGUUUUCUCAAGCCCCGUCCUCCCGAAAUGACUAAAAGAAACAAGGGAGAAAUAAUCCAAAACUGAGGUUCAAACCCGAUAGAAAUUUCCCAAAAAUCGUUUGGUGCCAGCUUUGCCGCUUCCGAGAUUCUGUUUAACGAGACGGCCAACUAAUGAAGCUUUCGGUCGAGCUAAACUAUUAAUCAAGUUGUCGUGACCUUUGCUAGCUCCGAAAGUGUAACCAAAUAUUAUUAGCCGUUAAGAGCUGGGAUCCCUACUUUCUAUCUAGCAUGAAAAUAAUUAGUUUGCUAGCUAAAAUAUCAGAUGAACCGAGAAUCUAAUGAAACCACAAUUUCCGCUGCCUUGGUGUAAAGAAGGCAUGCGGCACCCUGAGCUCUUUGUUUAUACGGCUAACCAAUCUUGAUUGCUGCCUUUCCGUCCCAGCGUGCCACCUAAAUCGUGAAUCCAAUCUAGCCUUGCAUGAGUAGUUGGGGAAUAAAGAGCACGAACAUUAUCUGGCUCUACACCAUACUACCAAGGACUAAAACAAAGCAAAGGGAAAAACAAUGAAUGUACUCCCUCCACAUUCAAAAGAAAAUGCAUUAAAUUUCAUUAUGAAGAACAAGGGAUGAAGUAAAGAGUUGAAAUCUAUCUGUUUAACCCCUAACUAAGCAUGCACGAAAACUAAUCUCUCCUCAAUUCACACCGGCAUAAUAAUCCACUCAUACUCAUAACCGAUGGCACGCAGGGGCGCACGCAAGCCCCGCGAAAAUGCUGCGAACUGCGGUCUUCUAAUUUGUCUGCUUUGACGGCGUUCUUUCACGGUAAAGGGGAGGGAAACACGCGCGUCAAUCCUUAGAAACAGAGGGGGCACUAUGCUCCGUGGCCAGUCUCGGCGACCAAAGAAAACAUAGGCAGUUUGCUCCCCUCCCAUCAACCAAGAAAAUUUCUACGUGCUUACUUAAUUUGCAUCACCAACUAAAUGGCGUGAUAUAAAACACCAUGGCGGCUUAGAUUAAUGCCGUGUCAUUCUCCGCAGUUGCAUUCCACCUGGACACAAAAGUCCAAGUGUCCCAACCACACGCAUUUUGUUUUGCCCGGCCCCUGCCGGGAAGCAAAAGCCGCCAGCCAGCCAGCCAGCAAGUUGCAGUUUCUUUCCCUUUCGUCACCCCCACAGAAAUAUCAACUUGCGCUUUUCUGGGUCCCCUCGGAGCGGAUGAAGCCGGGCGUAAAUAUCGUGGAUCCGAGUCAGCACGCACAGGGCCGGCACACGUGGCGGCCGACGUCAGUGCUCCGGGUGUUGCCUUGGCGUUUAGGGCGUUGAGUGUGCGGCUGGAAUUAGCCGAGAGGUUUUGUGUCGUCUGGUUGCUGACUGUGCUUGGCGUCUGAUCCAAACCUCGGGGACUACGUGUGACUCUGCUUCGCUGGGCUGAUGGUGACCUCGUAGUGGCCUGAGGAACUUUUGUCUGCUCCAGGUCGGGCAGAGCAGACUGAAGCUGGAAAACACGUACUACCUCCGUAAAGAAAUAUAAGAGCGUUUAGAUCACUGCUACCGGAUCGCAACCGAAUUUACCGGAAAAUCGUCUGGUUAGCUUGGGUAAUCUUGGCGGGACGUGGCGGCUGACUGGACGAGAUGUGACUGCGUUUUUGCGCCGGGACCUUCUUGCCGGCCACGGCCAGGUGCCGGCGAGUCGGAAAUUACUUGGUCCUCGCUCACCGACGCGAUGCCUGAAUGAGCCAAUGGGAUACAUACAGCAGCUUCAGUAACGUUGUACUGCUGACUCGGCUGAAAGGCGUCAAACAACACAGUUAUCUCCAGGCCCCAAGAGAGAUCAGACUUCAGAACCAAAAAAGAAACAGCUACAGUUUUUUUCUAGAAAAAAAAAAAUCAGGGAGCCUCCAUUGCAAGACAACGAAACCUUACUACAGAAUUCGGUCUAGCCGAGAGGGUUAGCGUUGCUAUUAUGGUUGCUAGGUGUGGUAGUGACAUGAGCAGCCUCUGUCUGCUCCGGGCCGGGCAGAGCAAACUGAAGCUGGAACAUACCAGAUUUGCCUGAAUUGUGUGGAUGACUUGGGUAAUCUCCGGGCCGGGCGGCGUGACGGCUGACUAGAUGAGAUGUGAUUGCGUUGGGAUCUUCCUGCCGGCCAGGGCAGCAGAGGUACCGGCAAGUCGGCAAUAGCUUCGUCUGAAUUGGCCAAUGGGAUCCAGCAGCUUGAGUAAUGUUUUAGCUCAGCUCAAAGAUGCUAAACAACACAAGCAUAAGCAUCCGCACCUUUCUCGAGACUUCAAGAGAGAGAGAGAGAAAGAUCAGACGCGCAAGUGCCAACGCACACGAGUUCAGACUUCAUAACCAAAGAUUAGCAACUUUUUUUUUUUAGAAAAUCAGGGAGGCUCCAUUGCAAGACAACGAAAUCUUACACAGUUGGGUUCCAGACUGAACUAAGCUGUACCUCGGCAGGAUAUACAACACGUACACAAACACAACACCGCCCGUCGCCAAGGAUACAUCAUGCCUCAAAGAAAAAAGGGAUACAUCAUGAGGAACACGAGAUUAGCUACGAGUCACUAGUAGUUUUCAAAAGUUUCAGUGGAGGCGGAGCCAACAAGUGCAGUGACACAUGGCCUUGAGAAAAAAGAAAGCUAUUGCUCCAGUAACACAACCUCGCGCUCCGCCUUCNNNNNNNNNNNNNNNNNNNNNNNNNNNNNNNNNNNNNNNNNNNNNNNNNNNNNNNNNNNNNNNNNNNNNNNNNNNNNNNNNNNNNNNNNNNNNNNNNNNNNNNNNNNNNNNNNNNNNNNNNNNNNNNNNNNNNNNNNNNNNNNNNNNNNNNNNNNNNNNNNNNNNNNNNNNNNNNNNNNNNNNNNNNNNNNNNNNNNNNNNNNNNNNNNNNNNNNNNNNNNNNNNNNNNNNNNNNNNNNNNNNNNNNNNNNNNNNNNNNNNNNNNNNNNNNNNNNNNNNNNNNNNNNNNNNNNNNNNNNNNNNNNNNNNNNNNNNNNNNNNNNNNNNNNNNNNNNNNNNNNNNNNNNNNNNNNNNNNNNNNNNNNNNNNNNNNNNNNNNNNNNNNNNNNNNNNNNNNNNNNNNNNNNNNNNNNNNNGAAACCAUCACCAGAUAAAAGGUUAAAUGGAACGCAAUUUGUUAUGUUGUGGCCAGUAUUCGCAGGAAAAGCAAAAACACACAGUUUGUUCCCCGUUCAUCGACCAUAUAAAGGAAUAACUGAUAGUUUUGUUUGCUUAGUUUGCAUCAACAUACAAUAGUAUACCGAACAACUGAUAGUCUGAUAAUACCACUGCGGCCAUGCUUAGUUUGCAUCAGCAUACAAUAAUAAUAUACCAGAGCAACUGACAGUCUGAUAAUACCAUUGCGGCUUAUAUUGAUCAGUGACAUGUCAUUCUCAGCCGUUGCACUCAACCUCAAACGAAAGUCAAACCACUUGUUUUGCUUGGCACCUACCGGGAAGCAAAAGAUUUUUGCAAUAAUGAAAAGAAGAAGCAAAAGAUUUUACCCAAACAGGGAAGCAAACGACGCCAGCAAAAUAUCAAUUUGCGCUUUUCUGCAGCGCUCAGGUGUGGAUAAAGCCACGCCAAAAAAUAUCGUGGAUCCGACUCGGCACCCACAGGGGCUGUACAGGUGGCGUCUGGCCAUGAUUGCGUGGCUGGGAUUGGUCGAGAGGUUUAGUGUUUGUCUGGUUGCUGGGUGAGGUGUUCUUUGGCUGGGGUGUCUACCUCGAGGGGUCCGAUUCUGCUUUGGUGAGUUGAUUCUACACUGGUUGUUUUUUUUCUUUCGGAACGGACACUUGGCAGUGACACCAGCAGCUUCUGUCUGCUUCAGGUCUAGCAGAGCAGAGACUGAGGCUGGAACAUACUGGAUUGAAUUGGAUUUGCCUGAAUGAGUGAUCAACUUUGGCAAUCUUAGCCGAACGUGACGACUGACUGGAUGAGAUGUGAGUGCAAUGGGAUCCUCUUGGUUGCUAGGUGCGGCGUCUUUGGCUGGGUGUCUAGUCCAAGUGUGUGUUUCUGCUUCUGUAAGCUGCUAGUGACACAAGCAGCCUCUGUCUGGAACAUACUGGACUGAACCGAAUUUGCCUGAAUGCGGAGCUAGAUCGCGUCCUGGAGCUGAAGAUCACGAGACUGAGCGGAUGCACAAGUCUGGCUUGCAUUUCCUUCCUGAAGGCACUAACUAGAAAUGCAGAUCAUGCAUGGCUGGAGAAAUACUUGGAGUUCCUGAAGUAGAAUCCUGGCGCCGGUGCUGUGAUCCAUGUCACCCACUCCUGAUGCUCAAAUGUUGUCUGUACUUUGGUGCUGAUCCAUAGUAUUUUGGCCUCAAAAUCCUUUUCCAGAGAGAGUCUGUUUUUAUGAUUGCAUAUAUCAAUUUCAUGGUAUGAGAUUGCUAACCGGACCUGCAUCCCAGUUCCAGAGAGAGUCUGGUUAGGAUAGUUUAGGUUCUGUCUUUGUUCGAGCUUCAGCCGGAUCUUCCACAAUACGAAGGAAUAGGAGGCAAUUAUAUUACUAUUUCUCAACUUGUACUAAAUCUUAUAUUAUAGAAAGAGGUAGAUUUUUUUUGCAGGUAUUUGAGAAAAAAAGGUCUAUUGUCAUUUGCACUCCAUCACUGGAUAGAAUUCUAAGACAAUAUAGUUAUUCUUUUGUCCACAAAUAUUCAAGUUUUAACGCCUAAUACUAUGUUUAUGUGGUUUUGUUUCUAUCCAGUGAUGAGGCUCCUGUUGAUCACCUGAAUAAGUGGUUAACUUUGGCAAUCUUUCAUGGCAAUCUCAAUACCAAUGUCAGAUUUAAUGGUAUUACCUGUUCUAGCUCAGUUGAAAAGUGUUGCAUACAUAUAUACCUUUCUCAAGGGAUCUAAUCUAAGACUAAGAGAGAUAUGGUACGCGGAGCGGAACUGCCAAUGCAGACGAGUUAUAGCACAAGCACAAAAUUAAGGUUGGGCAGCGCAGACUGAAGCUGGACUGGACCGGAUUGCACCGAAUUUGCCUGGAUUUAGUGGAUUGUGUGGCUGACUUCGUGGAACGUGACGGCUGACUGGAUGAGAUGUGAUUGCACAUCUGCGUUGGGAUCUUCUUGCUGGCCACGGCCAGGUGAAGCAGAGGUGCGGGCGAGUCGGCAAUAGUUGUGUACUCACUCUCACUAAUGUCUGAGCCAAUGGCAUCCGGCAGCUUGAGUAACGUUCUAGCUCAGGCUGAAAGGUGUUAAAACAACACAAGUAUCCGUCUCUUUCUCGAGGCUCUGAGAGUGAAGUUCCAACGCACACGAGUUCAGACCUCAGAACCAAAUUAACAGCGACAAUUUUGUUCGUUUUGGAAAAUCAUGGAGGCUCCACUGACAGACAAGACAACGGAACCUUAAUACAGAGUUUUUUUUUCCAACCGGGCUCACACCCCUUUCCAUUAAUUUUGCAAUCAACGGAAAUACAUCAGUCAGGUAUCGUCGUUCGAAGAUCGCAAGCUAGGCAUCAAGCCAAAUAGGACAACUACUAAGCAAAGGAGACUGAAAGGGGGUAGCGGGUUGGUGCAUCGCCAGGAAACCCACUGCAUGACAACCCUGAAACGGACUAUCAGCUGUGGGGCGAAAACCUGACGACACUACAACCACCACACGACACAGACGAAACUGUCUAGAGGAUAAAACUCCAGCGGACAGAACCAACAACAACAAUAAUACAGAGUUGGGUUGUGGCUCAAAAGGAAAACUGAAAAGCUAAACAUCCAACUAAAAGAGUUGAGCUUAUUUUUUAAAGAACAGUUCAAGGACAACAAUGGAUUGACUCAUGGACUGAAGAGCACAGCACACAAGCUCAGACGUCUUUUCCACCAGGUGCAUGGCUCUGUGGCAGUGAAAGUUUCAGUCGAUUGCACUGAAAUAAAAUGUAUACCCAGCAGCAGGAUACAUACAUCACACGCAACACAGCUCGUCCCAAAUGAUGCAUCGUGAAUAACACCAGACAAAUUAUUACUAGUCGCUACCACAGUAACAAAUGGAUUUAACAGCAUCAAGAACAACAGACUAGUCGCUAGCACAGUAACACAUGGAUUUUUUUUUUCAAAAGAGCCUACUCUAGUAACACACCUUCGCGCCCCGUCUUCCUCCUCUUCUUGCGCCGCCCAUCUCCGCCCUGCACCACCUCCGUCUCAGCCUCGCCAUCGGGAUCCACACGGGCGCAGCGGAAGGCGUGGAGCUCGGCGGCGGCCUCGGCCGCGCAGAGGACCAGCACGCCCGCCCCGGCGGGCAGCCUUGACGCCUCUCUGGCCGCGAAGCGGCUGAACACGCGGGCGGCCUUGUGUAAGCCCACCGGCUUCGACGAGACCACCUCGCCGUUCACCGCCCUCAUCUCCGCCGCCGCCGCCGCCGCCGCUCGAGACCUUGGACCUAAAACGUGUAGAGCACAGCACGCCACCAGCCAGCCCACCAUAUUUCAACAUAGUGAUAUAAGAGGCUAUUUCGGCCUGUUAGCCCAAACGAAUUAUUGGGCCAACGCACAUGACCCAGAAAGGGGCGUUCAUUCGGGCCCAAGUUGAGAACAAAACCCAUACCCGGCCCAACGUAACUUUACAUAUCUGCCCGCACCACCCGUGCUAUUUCCAACCCAGGCCCUCCGUCUUUUCCCCUCCUCGGCAUCUCUCCUCUCCCGAAGCUUCCGCCUCCCCCGUCUCUCUCUAGGGUUUUGCGGCGAACCCCACCGCCGAUCCCCGGCAGCAUGGACGUGGACUGCGAGGUCUCGGCGGCCGCGGCCGCGGCGGUGACGAACGGGCUGGGCGGCGGGGAGCAGGCCGCCGCGGCGCCGGUCUCCGCCGACCAGCUCGACGUGGAGGCGUACGCGGCGCAGUACUCGGGCCGGACCCGCGUGGCGCGGCUCCUCUUCAUCGCGGAGCGGUGCGGGGUGGAGGCGAUCCAGCUCGAGGCGCUGCGGAUGGCGCACGACGAGGCCAGGGCGCGCGAGGACACCGUGCUCUACCUCGACGCCGUCCUCAAGAUCAACGGCCGCCUCGGCCCGCGCUACCGCCACGACCAGGCCUGGGUCGACUCCGUCAACCGCCGCGCCGAGCAGCGCAAGGAGAAGCUCGAGACCGAACUCAACGGCUACAGGGUCAGAAAACCCUACCCACCCCCAUUGACCCCAUGUUCUGACCGCUUCUCUGAAUUUUACUGCUUCGUUCCCAUUAGUUUCGACCUAGGAUGUGGUGGUUGCCUUGAUCUGUCAAGGAAUUGGCCUCCCGUGUUGGUUUCCUGGCUGAUCUGUCUGGUUUAUAUGAUUAUGAUCGACGGAUUGGUUUGAUGUACUGCCUACUCUGUGGAGUGUGGAUGACUCUGAUUUGCGUGGUGCGAGUAGUAGUCCUUAUCUCUAAUUUAUACUGUUAUCUGAUAGUGUGUUCGCUUACUAUGCUCAAGGAUAGUGUUCCUUGCAUGGGCAUGAUUUUCUAUGCUGUGAUGAUAAGACAGAAAAGCGUUGUUACCUUGCAUGUUGCUUGUUCUACACUGAUGGAUAUCACUGUUUGAUCAGGGUGCGGCGCUGAACUCUAGGUGUUAUCCAGUAAUUUUGGAUGUCAAUCUGUGCUAUGUCUCUGAAUGUGAUCCUUACCCCAUUAGGUUAUGUUUUUAGGAAAAGAUCUCUGUGCACAAUUAAAUUGUUUAUUGCAUAGAGUGAUUUUUUUUAUUAGCUGUGCUAAAACACAAAAUACAGGGGAAUAUGGGGCUAACCGGGUAAGGGAACUCUUUUCCAGUAUGUUUCGCUAUUGUUCCUUUUUGCCUCUGAUCAGUUUUCUCAUUACACAAGAACCCAGACUUGGAUUGGUGCCAACCGUGGCUCACACAUUUACACACCAUUAUCUGAUUUAUUCCCAGUUUGUAAAAGACAGACAACCCUGUCUAAUCACCAAUUUUCACUUCAAUGCUAUUGCUACCUUUUCAGCAUUCUGCCUUCUCGCGCCUCUGUGUUUUUCUGGCAUGCCUUCCCACCCUUUGUUGCCUUUGUAUAUGUUUCUAGGGUCCAUAAUAGCAGUGUGGUUCUGUGAUUCAAAUGUGAAAUGUACCUAAUAAUACUCUUAUGCUAUUAGGAUCAUUUGAAUGGUUUACCACAUAGGAUUGUGAGCACACUCACAAUUUACUUUGCAUUCUCCAAUAUUAAGAUAUUGUUUGUGCUGCCAGAGCUACCUAUGAGCCUGAGUUUAGGCCCAGUUUGUAGUUGCCGAAUUGUGUCGUGUUGAACUUUUUCUAUAUUUUUCCAUUGUAGUAUAGAUAAGUUGGUUAAACAAGCAGUAAAAUAGGCAAAAGGUAGUUAGAUAAAUGAAAUCAUCAUUAUCCUCCGCAACUCCGAAUGGAGCCUAACCUUGUCAAUAUGGCCUGCUGGUUUAAGGAUAGGGUGUUGGCAGUGUUUCGUCUAACACAAUGUGUGCUCUAGGUAUGCAGUAGAUGCCGUCUAGGGUCCACAACUACUUCAUUGUUAUAGUGAGUCAUAAUAACACACUUAAUGGAGUUAUGGUAUUAUUUUUCUGUUAAUCAUGUAAUCUCCAUGCAUAGGCCUAUAACAACAGUUUAGGAAGGUAUGUGGUGUUGAAUAUAGGCAUAGCAUACGUUGAAAAUCUAUAACAUAUGUGUAAGUAUAUCUGUUGUCGUAUUCUUUGUUCUCUGGCAUUUGAAUUCUGGUGUAAUAUAUUUGUUCGUGGCCCUGGUGAGUUGAAUGGUGAUGUCAUCUAUGUAUCAGAAAAGUGACUCUGCAUUUAUAUUGCUUCUUUAAAUGCAGACCAACCUGAUCAAAGAGAGCAUCAGAAUGGGUUAUAAUGACAUUGGUGACUUUUUCUAUGCUCAUGGCCACCUUUCAGAAGCCUUCAAAAGCUAUAUCCGGACACGGGACUAUUGCACCACUUCCAAGCAUAUAGUUCAGAUGUGUAUGCAUGUGAUUCUGGUCAGCAUAGAGUUGGGACAGUUCGCACAUGUUACCAACUAUGUCAGCAAAGCAGAGCAAACCCCAGACACCUUGGAUGCUGUCAUUGUUGCAAAGUUGCGAGCGGCUGCAGGAUUAGCCAACUUGGAGACAAAGAAAUACAAACUUGCUGCCCGUAAGGUUUGUCCUCCAGAAAUCCUGUUCUGUUUCUUGUAUUUUUUCCUUGAGCUGAGCUGUCCUUGCGCCUGUAAGCUUUUAAGUUGAUAUUCUAGAGAUGAGAUAUGAUUCCUAUAAAUCGAUCUUCUGUAUGCAAGAAUUUUAAUUAACUUAAUUUGAAACUUCAUGUUUGGUACUUCCAUCUUGCUAGUUCUGUUCAUGCAGUGCCUCUUUCAAGAGCCAGUAGUAUAUUGUUGAUAAACCCCUACUUGUUUCAAGAUAUCAGUGAAAAGCCUUGAACAGAUCAAGUGAUUUGUUUGUUCCUUUACUAUUCUGUGAAGUUACUAUUAGUGUAUCAUCGUAAAUAAGUUUACAAGUGUCAAUAGUCAUUUGUGGAUUAGACAGCAGUCACAAAAUUUUCCUGACAGCUAUCAAUACUGUACUGCACUUUAAUCUGAAUUUUAUUUACUCUCUUUGUUGCAAAUGGUCAGUGUAACUACGUACGGAGGUUGUUUCCUACAGCCAGUAGUUCAGGCACAAUUGGAUCCAUCCCCCUUUUAUAGAUAGUGGGUUGUCCAAAAAAGUCAAGUAAAAUAGGCAAUGUCUUGUGCUUUUUGCCUAGUAUAAAUUAUUCUUGCUGAAAUUUGCCCUUUCUCUGAAGUUUCUCGAGACAGGACCUGAACUAGGAAGCAACUAUUCUGAAGUCAUAGCUCCGCAAGAUGUGGCUGUCUAUGGUGCCCUUUGUGCACUUGCUUCUUUCGAUCGUUCAGAACUGAAGGUUUACCUCUUGUUCUUCUUUUUCUGUUGUGUGCCUUCUGUAUGGUCGGUUGGUUACGGUUACACUGAAAUAUGAUUGUUUGUAUAUUUUGCCAGAGCAAAGUUAUUGACAACAUAAACUUCCGUAACUUUCUUGAGCUAGUGCCUGAAGUAAGGGAGCUGGUCAAUGAUUUUUAUGCAAGGUAUGCUUCUAUUGGGACAGCUUUUAGUACUCCAGUGUUUUAUCAUUCUUGACCACCUUUUCAGGGUGGUGGUUGUUUUUACACUUGCUACUCUGAUAGGAUAUGUGGAAGAUUAUGCAACUGUUUUUUUUUACUGUAUCAACAGAGCCCACAUAUAAUACAACGUAUAUGCUUUGCCAAUAUACUGGAAACCCUGCGACAAGCAGUAGAACUUGCACUCAUAAUCAUAAUAAUUUCAUAAGUAUUGGCGCUGGCAUAAUUAAAAUGGUGUAUUCAACAUUUUCUUUGUGUUCUCCUCUUACAGUGUCAACUCAAAUACAGUAAUUGCUAUAAAGAAAAACAGAGUAGUUUGUUUUCUAGAAGGAAAGGUGUCUGACAAUUGGUUUCAAUCCAUAGGGGGCAUCAUUCUAUUACUCUCAUCCUUUUGUAUGCCACAUCAGUUACUUACUGUGUCUCAGCAUAGAUAUAUAUAUCAUAUAGACAGCCCUUUCUUGGCAAUGAGGUUAAAGUCAUUAGCCUUUUAGCUUGUGUGUUCAGAUAUGACUCUUGGAUGCAUUAGUGAUAAUAAUAGUUUCCUAUAAUUUUACACCUUAUUUUCUACAACAUGGUGUCAAUUAAUGUGCCCUUUGGGGUUUUACAGUUCCAAAUACCAUGAAAGCUUGAUUACCUGUACAAAAUUUUUUCGUUCCAAAGUUGGGCUCCAAGUCAUUGGUUUGUGUCACUGCUAGAUUAGGUUGCAGUUUUUUCCCAAGCGAUUUGUGUUAAAUAAAUAUGCUAACCAUGAAAAUGUCCAAACUAGUCGCUAUGGAUCAUGCUUGGAGCAUCUUGAGAAGCUAAAGCCGAAUCUCCUUCUGGAUAUCCAUCUCCGUGAGCAUCUUGGGACUCUGUACAAUGAUAUCCGCCACAAGGCUAUCAUACAGUACACGCUUCCGUUCAUAUCCGUGGAUCUCAACACAAUGGCUAGUGCCUUCAAGAGCUCAGUGUCGAUGCUGGAGAAAGAGCUGGCUGCACUGAUCACCGAGAACAAAAUACAGGUACCGUUAAAAAGAUUUCUCAUCUUGUUGCAUAGCUGUAUAAUAAUUCUCGUAUUGUUAUUCUGACCUGCUUCUUUAUUGCCUUUGUGCUGCAGGCCCGUAUAGACUCCCACAACAAGAUCCUGUAUGCAAGGCAUGCUGACCAAAGAAACGCAACCUUCCAGCGGGCCCUCCAGACCGGCAAUGAAUUUGAGAGAGAUAUCAAGGCCAUGCUCCUGAGAGCCAACCUCAUCAAGCACGAUUUCAACCAGAAGAACUGGCCUGGACAACGGAAGAUGAACUUGUGAGCUCUGAGUUAAAUGCUAAAAGGUGUCUGUCUCCUCCUCCGCUUGGAAAUAGUUGUUUUGGGACAAAGGGUGCAGUGGCACAUUGCGAGGUUUCGGUGAACUGCCUUGAUGGCCGAACAAUCAACUUUGUUUUUCUUCUUUCUGUUGGCUCUUAGGUUAUGAAAUGUUGCUGGCGCAAACGGUUUAUGAAUAGUUAUGCAUCUGGAGAUAUGAUAUGCCUGUCUGCCAUGUUCAUUUUGAUGCCGUUCCAUGUGGUUUGGAAAGUUCUUUUAACCGGCAGAGUGGUGCGCCCGCGGGUUGCACGGUUGGUGAAAUGUCAACCGUGCUAGCAUGUGGUGGUUUGCAUGUUGAUUGCAUUUGUAUAUGCACAUUUGGCUGCUCUGUGUGACUUGUUUCGAACUUGAUUAUUAAUCGCCAAAUGGAAUCUUGCGCAUGUGGCAAUCAGGCCAGCGCAGCGCAACUGGCAGCGUUGUGGGGAUCACGAAGGAGCUGUCUAUUGCCUCGUUGCUUAUCCGCUGACUCAAAAGGAUGAACACGAGCUGGAAGGAAGCAACGUCGCACAUGGUAGGGUUAUGACAGAUGAGAGACGAUUCUCAAAAUAAUCUUCAUUCGUCAUACAUUACAAAAGAAUAAAUCAAAUGGACAAGAGAUAAAAGACCCCAACGAGCCUUGUCUGUGUGUGUGCGCCUAACCAAUCAGGCCGAGGCCGCAGCCCCUUUCCUUCCCUCCCUUGAUCUCUAUCUACAAAUAUGAACCGGACAAUGUGUUGUGGGGCUUGAAGAAUUCAUGACGACGGGGAAAGCGCUCUCUGCUGGAAUUCUCGUGUGUGUGUGUUGGUGCGCGUUGGUGGUGGUGCUGGUCAUCAGUUGGCGCAGGUCCAGCUCUUGGUGGGGACGCAGCUGAGGUAGUGGCACCAGCCGCAGCUGCUGUUGGCGUUGGCGCCGCGGAACACCAUGGCCAGCCCGAUCGCGAAUCUGCAGCAGAAAAAAGGGUUUCCAACAGUCAGUCAGAGCGAGCACGGAAAGAAUGGCCUCCUUUCUUCCUCGGCCGGCCAUCGCCAGCUUAGUUUAAUAUAUUUCACCGACAGAAACACGUAGUUGUUGGGACUUCAGAGAUUAAAUANNNNNNNNNNNNNNNNNNNNNNNNNNNNNNNNNNNNNNNNNNNNNNNNNNNNNNNNNNNNNNNNNNNNNNNNNNNNNNNNNNNNNNNNNNNNNNNNNNNNNNNNNNNNNNNNNNNNNNNNNNNNNNNNNNNNNNNNNNNNNNNNNNNNNNNNNNNNNNNNNNNNNNNNNNNNNNNNNNNNNNNNNNNNNNNNNNNNNNNNNNNNNNNNNNNNNNNNNNNNNNNNNNNNNNNNNNNNNNNNNNNNNNNNNNNNNNNNNNNNNNNNNNNNNNNNNNNNNNNNNNNNNNNNNNNNNNNNNNNNNNNNNNNNNNNNNNNNNNNNNNNNNNNNNNNNNNNNNNNNNNNNNNNNNNNNNNNNNNNNNNNNNNNNNNNNNNNNNNNNNNNNNNNNNNNNNNNNNNNNNNNNNNNNNNNNNNNNNNNNNNNNNNNNNNNNNNNNNNNNNNNNNNNNNNNNNNNNNNNNNNNNNNNNNNNNNNNNNNNNNNNNNNNNNNNNNNNNNNNNNNNNNNGUGUGUGCAGGUUGGGCGUGGCUGUCAAGGUGCUGCACGUUAGGCUGGAGGAGGAAAAGGCGACAAAAAAAAGCUUUGUUUUACAUGGUGGAGGAAGAAGAAUAAGAAGGCCAGCUACGGAUCACUAUGAUGAUGAAGAAGAAGAUAUGGUUAAUUUAUAAUUGUAUAAUAAAAAGAGCCAUGGUGUUCUGUCUUUGCCUGUCGGUUCACAUGAGUGCCUUAAUGGGAAGGAGGAAGGAACCUGGGUGCGCAGGCUCGUUGGCGCAUCAAAUCUAAUCUACCAACGGGAUGCAUGCACGCAUGUGCAGUGCCCAUGUACCUAACCCACAUUUCGCUUCUCCACUUUUUCCCAACUGAUUCUGUGAACUACUAACUACUACAGUUUAGGUGUCCAUAAGUGUUAACUAGAGUUUCUGCAGGUGGCAACAAAUGUCCACGUACUAGAAGGAUUCGUACUAUGUGUUCCAGCGGCUAAGCGUGUUGUACGUAGGUGAAGUAAUGCUGCUGCUUAAUGACACCUGAAAUGCACCAAUAACGGAGGGAUGCUUACCC